UACGGAGGGUGCAAGCGUUGUCCGGAUUUAUUGGGUUUAAAGGGUGCGUAGGCGGUGCCGUAAGUCGGGUGUGAAAUCCCUCGGCCUAACCGAGGAACUGCGCCCGAUACUGCGGUGCUUGAGGAUCAGAGGGGUGCAUGGAAUUUCCGGUGGAGCGGUGAAAUGCGUUGAUAUCGGAAGGAACUCCGGCGGCGAAAGCGAUGCACUGGCUGAUUUCUGACGCUGAGGUGCGAAAGCCAGGGGAGCAAACGGG
rnacentral:rRNA from 1 species